ensembl:snRNA U2 U2 spliceosomal RNA
AUCGCUUCUCAGCCUUUUGGCUAAGAUCAAAUGUAGUGUCUGUUCUUAUCACUUUAAUGUUUGAUAUGUCCUCUAUCUGAGGACAGUAUAUUAGAUGGAUUUUUGGAGCAGCAGGGAGUUGGAAUAGGAGCUUGUUCUGCCCACUGCACGCAUCCAUUGACCUGGUAUUCUACUACCUCUAGGAAUGGUGUACCAGCC